GAUGCCUACGGGACGCAGCAGUGAGGAAUAUUGGUCAAUGGGCGAGAGCCUGAACCAGCCAAGUCGCGUGAGGGAGUACUGCCCUAUGGGUUGUAAACCUCUUUUGUCGGGGAGCAAAAGCCGGACGUGUCCGGCUGUGAGAGUACCCGAAGAAAAAGCAUCGGCUAACUACGUGCCAGCAGCCGCGGUAAUACGUAGGGAGCGAGCGUUGUCCGGAAUUACUGGGUGUAAAGGGAGCGUAGGCGGGACGGCAAGUCAGAUGUGAAAACUGAGGGCUCAACCUUCAGACUGCAUUUGAAACUGCU
rnacentral:rRNA from 1 species